rnacentral:rRNA from 1 species
GAACGCUGGCGGCAUGCUUACACAUGCAAGGUCGAACGGCAGCACGGGAGCAAUCCUGGUGGCGAGUGGCGAACGGGUGAGUAAUAUAUCGGAACGUGCCCAGCCGUGGGGGAUAACGUAGCGAAAGCUACGCUAAUACCGCAUACGAUCUAUGGAUGAAAGCGGGGGAUCGCAAGACCUCGCGCGAUUGGAGCGGCCGAUAUCAGAUUAGGUAGUUGGUGAGGUAAAGGCUCACCAAGCCGACGAUCUGUAGCUGGUCUGAGAGGACGACCAGCCACACUGGGACUGAGACACGGCCCAGACUCCUACGGGAGGCAGCAGUGGGGAAUUUUGGACAAUGGGCGCAAGCCUGAUCCAGCAAUGCCGCGUGCAGGAUGAAGGCCUUCGGGUUGUAAACUGCUUUUGUACGGAACGAAACGGUGAGCUCUAAUACAGUUUGCUAAUGACGGUACCGUAAGAAUAAGCACCGGCUAACUACGUG